CUCCUGUUUGCUAACUUUUGCUGGGAAGACAAUAUGUCAAGCAAAGAUUUGCAAAAAUAUCCAUUUAAGGAUCCUUCUUUUUCCUGGCUGACUGGAUAAAAAGGUCAACCUCCUUCUACGAAUAAAGGCUCUUCCAAGGGAAAUUCUGCUGACAAUAAAACUACUAGGAGUAAACAGCACCUCCAAAAAUACACAAGUGCUUGCUUGCACAUGCUCCCCCUUGUAUGCAAAAGAGUAAGUUCAGUUUUGUAUGACCUUGAGAAAAGACCAUUCUUGAAUAGUGUUGCACUCAACCUGGGAGAAAUAUAAAAAGAUAAAAUUGCUUAUUUCAUGACCUCCUGUAAUAGGAUUGAC
rnacentral:lncRNA from 12 species